rnacentral:misc_RNA from 1 species
GAAAUGCGAUAAGUAAUGUGAAUUGCAGAAUUCAGUGAAUCAUCGAAUCUUUGAACGCACAUUGCGCUCGCCAGUAUUCUGGCGAGCAUGCCUGUUCGAGCGUCAUUUCAACCAUCAAGCUCUGCUUGCGUUGGGGAUCCGCGGCUGCCCGCGGUCCCUCAAAAACAGUGGCGGGCUCGCUAGUCACACCGAGCGUAGUAACUCUACAUCGCUAUGGUCGUGCGGCGGGCUCUUGCCGUAAAACCCCCAAUUUCUAAGGUUGACCUCGGAUCAGGUAGGAAUACCCGCUGAACUUAAGC